rnacentral:rRNA from 1 species
CAGCCGCCGCGGUAAUACGGAGGAUCCAAGCGUUAUCCGGAUUUAUUGGGUUUAAAGGGUGCGUAGGUGGCCUGUUAAGUCAGGGGUGAAAGACGGUAGCUCAACUAUCGCAGUGCCUUUGAUACUGACGGGCUUGAAUGAACUAGAGGUAGGCGGAAUGUGACAAGUAGCGGUGAAAUGCAUAGAUAUGUCACAGAACACCAAUUGCGAAGGCAGCUUACUAUGGUUUUAUUGACACUGAGGCACGAAAGCGUGGGGAUCAAACAGGAUUAGAUACCCCGGUAGUCCCUGUCUCUUAUAA